GACAGAGGAUGCAAGCGUUAUCCGGAAUUAUUGGGCGUAAAGAGCUCGUAGGCGGUCUGUCGCGUCUGCUGUGAAAACCCGAGGCUCAACCUCGGGCCUGCAGUGGGUACGGGCAGACUAGAGUGCGGUAGGGGAGAUUGGAAUUCCUGGUGUAGCGGUGGAAUGCGCAGAUAUCAGGAGGAACACCGAUGGCGAAGGCAGAUCUCUGGGCCGUAACUGACGCUGAGGAGCGAAAGCGUGGGGAGCGAAC
rnacentral:rRNA from 1 species